UACGGGGGGGGCAAGCGUUGUUCGGAAUUACUGGGCGUAAAGGGCUCGUAGGCGGCCAACUAAGUCAGACGUGAAAGCCCCGAGCUCAACUUGGGAAUUGCAGUGGAUACUGGCGAGCUGGAGUGCGGUAGAGGAAGGUGGAAUUCCCGGUGUAGCGGUGAAAUGCGUAGAGAUCGGGAGGAACACCAGUGGCGAAGGCGGCCUUCUGGACCAGCACUGACACUCAAGCACGAAAGCGUGGGGAGCAAACAGG
rnacentral:rRNA from 1 species